UACGUAGGGUGCAAGCGUUAAUCGGAAUUACUGGGCGUAAAGCGUGCGCAGGCGGUUUUGUAAGUCUGUCGUGAAAUCCCCGGGCUCAACCUGGGAAUGGCGAUGGAGACUGCAAGGCUAGAGUUUGGCAGAGGGGGGUAGAAUUCCACGUGUAGCAGUGAAAUGCGUAGAUAUGUGGAGGAACACCGAUGGCGAAGGCAGCCCCCUGGGUCAAAACUGACGCUCAUGCACGAAAGCGUGGGGAGAAAACCGG
rnacentral:rRNA from 1 species